AGAAUCAACGCUGGCGGCGUGCCUAACACAUGCAAGUCGAACGAGAAAGUGGAGCAAUCCACAAGUAAAGUGGCGCACGGGUGAGUAACACGUGACUAACCUACCCUUGAGUGGGGGAUAACCUAGAGAAAUCUGGGCUAAUACCGCAUAAUACCUUCGGGUCAAAGGAGCAAUUCGCUUAAGGAGGGGGUCGCGGCCGAUUAGUUAGUUGGCGGGGUAAUGGCCCACCAAGACUAUGAUCGGUAUCCGGCCUGAGAGGGCGCACGGACACACUGGAACUGAAACACGGUCCAGACUCCUACGGGAGGCAGCAGUGGGGAAUUUUGCGCAAUGGGGGAAACCCUGACGCAGCAACGCCGCGUGGAGGAUGAAGUCCCUUGGGACGUAAACUCCUUUCGAUCGGGACGAUAAUGACGGUACCGAGAGAAGAAGCCCCGGCUAACUUCGCGCCAGCAGCCGC
rnacentral:rRNA from 1 species